rnacentral:lncRNA from 1 species
UUUGAAUAUUGCUAACCACCGUCACUAUAUAAAUUGUAUCACUUCUUAUGGUUUCUUCUUCUCUUCCUAUAACCCAAAAAAAAUAGAAAUUCCAAACAAAAAAACCAAAAAAAAAGGGUAAAGAGCUAAGCAAACCUCGCCCAUUGAUGUUCUUGGAUAUGGACAGAGGUAGCUGAUAAGCUUAAAGACAGAAAGAGAGCGAGAGAUUGAAUUGUUUCUCUCUCUUUAAGUUUUUUUGCUGUUUUGUGUGUGUAUUGUUUGGUGUUAUUCUCAAGAAAGUUCAAAAGAGAAAUGGUGAGCAUGGGCUACAUAGAGAUCAACGAGGCACUCACUAGUUUUUG